rnacentral:rRNA from 1 species
CCUUUUUGUCUGGCGACCGGCGCACGGGUGAGUAACACGUAUCCAACCUGCCCUUUACUCGGGGAUAGCCUUUCGAAAGAAAGAUUAAUACCCGAUAGCAUAAUGAUUCCGCAUGGUUUCAUUAUUAAAGGAUUCCGGUAAAGGAUGGGGAUGCGUUCCAUUAGGUUGUUGGUGAGGUAACGGCUCACCAAGCCUUCGAUGGAUAGGGGUUCUGAGAGGAAGGUCCCCCACAUUGGAACUGAGACACGGUCCAA